AUGGCUCCUGUCUUCACAAUAGGCUCCGGCGAGCCGCCCAGGUACACAGGGUACCCUGAUUCAGGCAUAUUGAUGUUUAGCAACUCCAUUUUGUUUCAUGGUAGCCUGCAUUGGCACAUAGACAAGGAUGCGAGCACAAGCAACAUGAUAAUGUUAUUUGACACCACCUCUGAGUCCUUCCGGCAGAUGCGCGCUCCGGUUGUUCCUAGCCACGCUUCCCUGUUUGAGAUGGAUGGAAUGCUCGGCAUGUCCAGCUUUAAUCAUGCAGCCACAACCAUUGAUAUCUGGAUGUCACAAGACUAUGAUAGCGAGGCCUGGGCCUUGAAAUACCGUGUUGAUUUGCCGGUUACAGAUCUCACUGCGCAGUUUGGAAAGUUUACCGAAACUUGGAAUUUGGUGGUCACUUGUUGGAACGGUGAUGUGCUCAUGCUGAUCAAAUUUGAAUGGAGCGUACACAUUCACAGAACUGCUUCAACCACAGAUAAUGUACCAGUGCAAAUCAUUGAAAGUUACACUGAAAAAUAUCACUACAAGUUACGCUGGAAUACUGGAAAAUACAGAGUAAAAUCACUGUAA
rnacentral:rRNA from 1 species